rnacentral:lncRNA from 1 species
AGUUGUCCUUGACUGCAUGGUUUCUGCUGGUCCAAGCAAACUUCUCCUGCCACGCCUAACCUUGGAGAGCAGAGAGAGGGUUUUGCCAUGUUGCCAGGCUGGUCUCGAACUCCUGGACUCAAGUGAUCUGCCUGCCUCAGCCUCCCAAAGUGCUGGAAUUAUAGGACCCAGACGGGGAGGAGGAAUGCCAGAGAAGCUGCAGACUCUCCGGCCACGGAGCCUGAGUGGAGCAGAGGUGGCCCACUGUCAGCCACAGGUCAAGUGUCAGGGUGGGGACGGGGCAGGCUCCACCAGAAGGCGGGGGCAGGCUCCACCAGAAGGCGGGGCCAGACCACAGGGCAAGGUGGAGAUGAGUCUGUGGCACCCCCAGGAAGUUUACCAGAUUUGCCCCAGAGCUUCUGACCCUUUGGAUCUCUCUGGGCUGCAUUCUUCAGGGUCCCAUUGCUUCUUUCUUGAAGGUGGAAGGAAAUGUUCCCAUCAGAGCCUUCCAACAGGCCACCUUGGGGGCUUCUCCUGAGAGCUCCUUGUGCACACACCCCUUCAGGGUGGCUUGGGUUGCGCCCUCAGACCCCAGUGGGGGGCCGUAUGGCAUCCUCCUUGGUCAGCAAGUGAGCCACAGCAGCAGGCCCCUCACAGACCUCAGCCUGGGGCCACAGGUCCCUUCUCCCCAUCUCCGCAUCUGGAGAAGCAACCUGUGGAGCAGCCAAGAGUGGCAGCCCUGGCUCUCUACAGCAUUCAUUUUCAGGGCAAGACAGAGCAUUUCCACUAUUAUGCUCCCCCCCCCGGCCUUUUUUUUUUUUUUU